UACGUAGGGUGCAAGCGUUUAAUCGGAAUUACUGGGCGUAAAGCGUGCGCAGGCGGUUUUGUAAGACAGAGGUGAAAUCCCCGGGCUCAACCUGGGAACUGCCUUUGUGACUGCAAGGCUUGAGUGCGGCAGAGGGGGGAUGGAAUUCCGCGUGUAGCAGUGAAAUGCGUAGAUAUGCGGAGGAACACCGAUGGCGAAGGCAAUCCCCCUGGGCCUGCACUGACGUCAUGCACAAAGC
rnacentral:rRNA from 1 species